rnacentral:tRNA from 2 species
AUCAAGUUGGCAGAGAUAUGCGUUUGACUUAGGAUCAAAAGACAGAAAUAUUCUACUUGAUA